GAAAGAAAGGGGAAAACUUCCCAGAUACUACGUCGCCUCCUCAGCUCCCUUUCCUACUCCUGCACGCAAGCGGUCCCCUUUCUCCCACGCCACCGCUCGCGCUCGGCCGCUGCCGCCGCCUCUCCCAUCCCAGAUCCUUCUGCUCCGGGCGCCCCAGGCGACGAAGGAGGGAGCGUCCGGACGUGGUAGCCGCAGGAGGAAGGGAUGGGGGAGAGAUACAAGUAGGAUAACGAAACCGUGGGUCGCGAAGGUGGAUGGGUGGUAGAGAUGGCCUCUCCCUCAUCUCCAUCUCUAUCGUUUAUUCCUCUGAUCUCUUCAACUAGCCCCAGUGGUCAUCCAGAUCCGGAAUGUAUAUUAGAUCUCCGAGGUUGAACUUGCAAAAGAUGCCGCUGAAUGAGUGGCACUUGUUUGAACACUGGCCAGAACCCAGCAUGGUCAAGAAAAGCUUCUUUGGCCCGGUGUGUCUUCGGUUGUAUCCUUGAAAUAUUUGGGUUCAGUGACCGAAGUCUGACCAGUGCAUCUUUAUCUUCAUCCGUUUUCAUCGAUAUUCUACUCAAGCGAUUCUGGAGGUUAAGCACUAAAUUGUGCGCCGAAGACACUCACAUAUAUGGUGUGGAGAGGCGGUACAUUAUUUUGGCAAUGAUGCAAAGGUGGUACAUGAAGGCAUGGGUAACAAUAUAUGAUAGCUCAUGUUGAAUGGAUGAUAAAAACAAGGCGCGAGCGACCCCGGACCGGAGGCUGUACCAAUCAUGUUUAUAGCGCUACAACCUGGAAUCGCGUCCACUAUUUAUUAUCUUGGUAAUUCACUGCAUAUGAAGAAAGGACAACCAUUCAUGGUUAUGUAUGCCUUCAUCUGUUUCUGCUCUUGCAUUAAAAAAUCUUAUGUCGUUGAACAUUUCGCUUUUUAGUCCAAUCUGAAGUACCAGUACCAGUGGUACAUCAGCUUUUAGAUGUUUAUAUAUUCAUUUUCCGUGUUCUCUGAAGUGUGAACAAUACUUGAUUUAUCGAUUGGAUCAAAAUGGUUCUGAUUCAUUUUCAUCUUAAUUGCUUCUUGCUUCAGUUUCAAAGCAGCCCUAUAAUGCAGAUCAUUUUAGAUGGAUAUAGAACGACAGGUCAAUGAUUACACAUUGAAUAAACGGUAGACCUGGUCUCUCCCUUCUUCCUUAAAUUGCGUCUAGAUUUUCUGAAUUGUUUGUAGUUUUGACUUCCACUUGUGACUUGUCCAUAAAGAAUGCUUAAAUGGUCUAAUGGCCUGAUAUUGCCAAAGGAUCCCCUAGAUGUAACCACCCCAAGGUACUCCUUUGAGACAAUGACCUACAAGUGUUUAUGAGCCAUGCAUUCGUAUUAUGAAUUGGAAGAACAUCAAUCAGCAAGUAUUUAUGGCUGAUGUCUCCUAGAUGAUAUAAUUUUCCCCAAACUGCAUGUGAUCCAUUGCUCUAGGUAGCAACAUCAUGGAACCGUAGUGUUAUUUUUUAUGCCCUACAUUCUACCGCAAAUACAUUUGGAUUUGCAUAUUUUGAGUCCUGCUACUACUAAUUUGACUUAUGAUGUCCAUUGUUUAGGAUGAUUAGUCGCAGCUCAUCUUCUAUCAUGAGUUUCUUAUUUGCAGGUGAUGAUCUUGCUGCAACUUGCUUGCUGCCUUGGUUUACAGUGAGCUAGCUGCUGCAGCCGUUUUGUUUCUUUAGAGGACACAGAUGACAGAAACGCCACCAUGGAAUCAGGCAACCAAUAACCGGAGCACAGCUGUCAACUUAUUUUAUUCAUUGGCCAGACUACGAAGCAUGGAAAGAACAGCCAGAAGAAAAUGUAAGUUGUUCUAUAAAGUACUACAGGGGUGUGCUUUUGUCGUUUGCUUAUUAAGUUCUUCCACUAUGGUUUCACCACAUGAUUGUGUUUCCCUCUUAUUUUUCACUGGAAGGUACUAUAACAAAGAUGACUGUACUUGUAUUUGGUCUUCACUGAGUUAGUACAUGAUAAAUGCGCGCAUUGAGUUCCUUUCAAAAUCAAGAAAAUAAAAGCUUUGGGUUCAGAGAAAAUUCAACACUGCUUUAUUUUGAUUUUUCUGAUUUCUAAUGUUCGAAUCAAGGAUGUUAAGAUUUCCUUGUUUCGUUAUUCAUGGAAAAUAGAGCAACUUUGUGCUUAUUUGUUUGCCUUAUUGGAAACCUUUUAAAAAUAUUAUAUUAAUUGGUUGGUGAGCUGAUCUAUCUAUGAUUGGUACCUCGAUUGAUAGUGUGAAACAGCGGAGAACGUCGUACCUCUCUCGAGGCGACGGUUGCGUGUUAAUAUAGGCAGGGGCAUAUCCCUGAUAAAAGCAUACAAGUUGUUGAGAUUACAUCUUGAGGUACAAGAAAAGUAGAGAUAAGAUAAACAUGAAGAGAUUACAACCAAAUAACUCAACUAACCUAGACCGAGCCUAUCUCAACUAAACCGGUGCAUGUAUGCCCCUUGAGCCUGAAUAUUACACGGUUUAAUACCCUCCCAUAAUCACAACUUGGUCAAGUUGAGAUUAUGCUUAAACUCUUCAAAACCUUUGGUAGGCAAUGCUUUAAUGAAGCCAUCUGCAACUUGAUCUUGAGAUCGAAUAAAUCGAAUAUCCAGCUUCUUUUCUGCAACUCUUUCUCUGAUAAAAUGAAAGUCUAUUUCUAUGUGUUUUGUUCUUGCAUGAAAUAUUGGGUUAGCAGAAAGAUAGGUGGCACCCAGAUUGUCACACCAUAAACAUGGGGCUUGCUUACUGUGUAUCCCGAGCUCUUUCAGUAAUGACUGAACCCAAAUGAUUUCUGCAGUAGCAUUUGCUAGUGCCUUGUAUUCUGCUUCUGUGCUGGAUCUAGACACAGUAGCUUGUUUCUUAGCACACCAGGAAAUUAAAUUUGGACCAAAGAACACUGCAAAACCUCCUGUUGAGCGUCUAUCAUCAAGACAACACUACUGGAAACUGGGAAUUUGCCAUCAGCCAGCUCUUUGCCAUCUGCCAGCUGAUGGCAAAGAACGUCUUUGCCAUAUGCUUAUAAAAAACAGAUGGCAAAGAACUGACAGACGGCAAAGAACAUGGUUGCCAUCAGCCAAUUCUUUGCCAUCUGCUAGUGGAUGGCAAAUAAUCUUUGCCAUCUGCCAGCAGAUGGCAAAUAAUCUUUGCCAUCUGAGGUUGGCAAAUCCUGUGGCCGUCGAGAGUGUAACGACGUACCAGCCCCACCUCUUUGCCAUCUGACAGCAGACGGCAAAGAUUCUUUGCCAUCUGCUGGCAGAUGGCAAAGAGAUGGGGUUAUUUUUUUAAACCAUAAAUUUUCUGAACCAAUCAGGGCUCUUCCCACGGAUCACCCCCUUAGCCGAUCUGAACCGUCCGUUCUAGCCGAUCUGAACCGUCCACCUCUCUGCAGCCCAAUCCAAACCCUAAGCAGCCCGCGCCCGCCUCUCUCUCCUCCUCUCUGCCGCCUCUCCCCGAUCCAGAUCCAACCCAAGCGCCCGUCCUUCGCCGCCGCAGCCACGACGUCACGGCCUGCUCCUCGUGGUGGCCGCGCCGGUGCUCUGCGUCCGUCGUCGGCCGGCGCGCCCACUGCGUCCGCGCUCCUCCGCCCCGACGCCGACUAUCUCAACCCUCUCUCCAACCCUAACCCUCUCCCUCCCUCAGAUCUCAAUACGCCGCCGCCCCUAUCCCUACCCCCGCGUAGCCCAACCCAAUCCGCCGCCGUCCUCUACCCAGACCCCUCCCCGCUUCGGCGAGCCCGCCAUGAACCGUGUGCGGGCGGCAGCGCAGCGGGAGCAGCACGGGCUUCACCUCCCCGGGCCGUGUCUCCCCUCCUCCUCCACCUCCUUCGCGGCCUCCCUCCCGGGCACCGCCCAACAGCAGUCUCGACAGGGACGACCUGGACCCGGACCCGGUCGCGGCUACCACGGAGGACCUCGCAACGGUCGACCUCUCCGAAGACCCGGAUGCCACCGCCACCGCCAAGUCCGGCUCCAGCAAGCCCCGUCAGGCAGCCAGAGGCGGCGGCUGCGACGUGGCCCCGUCGUCAACGUCAACCCACAAACUACAACGUCGCCGUCAACGUCCUCAACAGCCUCGACGAGCCGCUCCUCAUCACCUGGGACGGCAUCCAGCAGUGGAAGAACUGCUGGCAGGACGGCAUGCUGGGCUCCAACUGUGGCGUCGGAUGCUGGCAGGUCACGGGGUUAGAGCAAAGGAACCUGAUGCGGUGUUCUAAACUCAGGUGGUCAUGGUCAUUGACCAGGUGUUGAAGGGCUUGGUGGCAAUUCUCACGGAGUAAGAAUAUGCGUGCAAGCGCUCAUUUCUCAUAUGCCUGCCCACUCCUCCCUUUCAUGAAGCUUUCUUUUAUUUCUCCAAAAUUUCUCUGAAUUUGCAAUGUGUAGCUCUGACAAAGAAAUAAGAGGAAUAAGUUCUGGCAAGGUUUUGGUGAAGAGCAUUAUUUCCCUAGCUUGUGAAAAUUUUGGUCCUCUGACAUUGAUUUCAUGAUUUGUGGUUACUGGUAAAUAUAUGACGUUGGUAAUUGAUCUCUUUGUGAUUGUUUGUGCGUCUGGUAUGCUAUUUCAGUUUAGAUUCUUCACCAUCAUUAAAGUUCCAUGGAUUCAGCCUUAGUUUCUUCAAACCAACCUUGCAAUCUCCAUGUUUCUUUUGAAAAUUGAACCACAUUACCAUUUUUUCUUCUGAAAAUUUUAUACUCAAGAUUACAAAUUUGGCAGGUAACAGUUCAACUCUAACUAUAUGUGUACCAUACCUACUGACUAAUAGCAGAGUCUAAUUCUUCCCAAGCAGUGGCUGUCAAUGUAGACUUGACAUGCGUGGUUUUACUUCGCGAAGCCAUUUUCUGAAUUUUUGGAAGUUGGUUGCACACCAUGAACUUCAGUUUUGUUAUAUUUUGGCAGCUAAUCCCUUCAGCUAUAUGAAUCCCUCAAGAAAAGUCCACGUAGCCAUAGACUCACAACUCAUAAUCAUUCAUAUGCGUUCUACAUAUUAGUUAGCGUUUCCUCUUUUUGUAUUUGGCAGACUGCCAGUAUGUAUGUACAUUUUGUAUGUGUUGACCAUGGAUAGUUAGAUACCAAGGGUGUGUUUGGAUGUGAGGCAAGGGGCAGCUCUAGCUUAGCUAUGCAAGGUUAACAUUGAAAAUCACAUGUUUAUUAAAACUUAAAAGCCUAGGUGGGAGACUGUGAUUUAAAUUUCUUUUCCUAGGUGAUGUGAUGAUGCCAUAUCUAUUUAUUUAACAUAUGGAGCUCCUACACUCAUGCUAUUAGCUAAGAAAAAUUUACCAUAUAUGCUGCUACUUCAAUCAGUUAAAACGUUAUUUUUUCCAUUCAUAUAUCAACACGUUUUGGGGGAGUGAAAACCAUUGAUAGUUUGGCUUUUUUUUACUACAUUGCGGAAGUGUUUCCAUUGGGGCGUUCAGUUUAACAUAUGAACUUGGUUGACCUUUCCAUCUCAUAAGGAAAGCUUGCAUAUAUGCAUUUGCACGGUAGGUUUAGUAUUUAAAAUAUGUGGAUCAAUUCACAGUCCAGGUUAAGAUGUCCAUGCAUAUGAUCAUUUAGUACACAUGCAUGCAAUUAUUAUUUGUUGUUAAUUAUAUUUUGUAGUAUCAUUUAAAUACGCUUCAUCUUAAACCAAUAUGUUAUUUCUUAGUGAACAAACAGAGAAAUAUUUAUGGAUUCAGAAUCUGGGGUGGCCUGCAAUAAGGAAAACAUAUACACUGUUAGUAUUAUUAGUUGUUUCCAUGUAUUUGGUACAGACGCCAUGAAUUUUCCUAACAUUUAUUUCUAACUUUCCCAUAUCAAGAUUAUGUCUGUGCAGUCAACGUUUUCUCCAAUAUUACAAUUGGCCCUAUUGCUAUAUAGGUGAGUGUGUUUUCUCUGCUCUAUCUGAAGAUCCAACUUCUAUAAUGUUGUAUCUAUUCCAUCGUUUACAUCCUGCAUGCCUUUGAACCGUUGCACUAGCAGUUCUCAUUACGUGGUACUGUUGCUUAUAAAAAUUAAUGGUUCACACUGUCAUCUUAAUGUUGUAUCCUCCUUGGGAAAAGCUUUGGUAAAUGUAAUACCGGAAUACUUCUGAUAGAUGAUUGUUGUAUGCUGCUACUUGAGUUUUCAGUGACAUAAAAGGAGCACCAUAUAUAUUCCUCUGAAUGAAGAUAAUAUUCAUUCAUGUUUUAUUGGUUCAAUUUUCAGAUCCUAAACAACUUCUGUGGAAGAACAAGUUCCAUUUGCUGCCGAGGAAUAAAUCACACUUAUCUUAUGGAAUUGCGCAUCAUCAGAAAUGUUGGUCUAAUUCUGAUCUAAUGUGAUAGGGUAUUACUACAAAGCCUGCUUCUAGCUGCAAAACAAAGUUUACUCGAAGGCUGCAUGUCUCCCCUAUCUUUUUCCCACGCUACCAACCCUACUUUUUAAGAUUUUCUUAAGAUCACAUAAGCUUGGGUUGAUGGAGUGCUUGUAUUUAGUUUUUGUUUUGACCUUGUGAAACUUGCUACCUAUGGAUGAAACUGUGUAAUAUUGAUGAAACUAUG